UUAAUUGAAGAGUUUGAUCAUGGCUCAGAUUGAACGCUGGCGGCAGGCCUAACACAUGCAAGUCGAGCGGCAGCACAGAGGAACUUGUUCCUUGGGUGGCGAGCGGCGGACGGGUGAGUAAUGCCUGGGAAAUUGCCCGGUAGAGGGGGAUAACCAUUGGAAACGAUGGCUAAUACCGCAUAACCUCGUAAGAGCAAAGCAGGGGACCUUCGGGCCUUGCGCUACCGGAUAUGCCCAGGUGGGAUUAGCUAGUUGGUGAGGUAAGGGCUCACCAAGGCGACGAUCCCUAGCUGGUCUGAGAGGAUGAUCAGCCACACUGGAACUGAGACACGGUCCAGACUCCUACGGGAGGCAGCAGUGGGGAAUAUUGCAC
rnacentral:rRNA from 1 species